rnacentral:rRNA from 1 species
AUUGAACGCUGGCGGCAUGCUUUACACAUGCAAGUCGAACGGUAACAGGCCUUCGGGCGCUGACGAGUGGCGAACGGGUGAGUAAUGCAUCGGAACGUGCCCAGUCGUGGGGGAUAACGCAGCGAAAGCUGUGCUAAUACCGCAUACGAUCUGCGGAUGAAAGCGGGGGACCUUCGGGCCUCGCGCGAUUGGAGCGGCCGAUGUCAGAUUAGGUAGUUGGUGGGGUAAAGGCUCACCAAGCCAACGAUCUGUAGCUGGUCUGAGAGGACGAUCAGCCACACUGGGACUGAGACACGGCCCAGACUCCUACGGGAGGCAGCAGUGGGGAAUUUUGGACAAUGGGCGCAAGCCUGAUCCAGCAAUGCCGCGUGCAGGAUGAAGGCCUUCGGGUUGUAAACUGCUUUUGUACGGAACGAAAAGCCCUGGGUUAAUACCCUGGGGUCAUGACGGUACCGUAAGAAUAAGCACCGGCUAACUACGUGCCAGCCGCCGCCGUAACAC